rnacentral:rRNA from 1 species
ACUCCUACGGGAGGCAGCAGUGGGGAAUAUUGCACAAUGGACGAAAGUCUGAUGCAGCAACGCCGCGUGGAGGAUGACACAUUUCGGUGCGUAAACUCCUUUUAUAUAGGAAGAUGAUGACGGUACUAUAUGAAUAAGCACCGGCUAACUCCGUGCCAGCAGCCGCGGUAAUACGGAGGGUGCAAGCGUUACUCGGAAUCACUGGGCGUAAAGAGCGUGUAGGCGGAUAGAUAAGUCAGGAGUGAAAUCCUAUGGCUCAACCAUAGAACUGCUCUUGAAACUGUCAAUCUAGAAUGUGGGAGAGGUAGAUGGAAUUUCUGGUGUAGGGGUAAAAUCCGUAGAGAUCAGAAGGAAUACCGAUUGCGAAGGCGAUCUACUGGAACAUAAUUGACGCUGAGACGCGAAAGCGUGGGAGCAAACAGGAUUAGAUACCCUGGUAGGUGA